UCCCUGGUGGCUCAGACGGUAGAGUCUGCCUGCGAUGCAGGAGACCCAGGUUCGAUCCCUGGGUUGGGAA
rfam:TPA: Bos taurus chromosome 5, whole genome shotgun sequence.